rnacentral:rRNA from 1 species
CCCUUAGCUGUUCUGGGCCGCACGCGUGCUACACUGAGUGGAUCAGCGGGUCAGGUUGCGCGAAAGUGUUUCCUAAUCUUUAAAUCCGCUCGUGAUGGGGAUUGACGGUUGCAAUUUUCCGUCAUGAACGAGGAAUACCUUGUAAGCGCGGGUCAUCAUCCCGCGCUGAAUACGUCCCUGCCCUUUGUACACACCGCCCGUCGCUCCUACCGAUUGAGUGGUCCGGUGAGGCUUUGGGAUCUGAGCGGAAAGAGCGUUUCGCUGUUUCUGCCCGGAAAACUCAGUCGAACCUUAUCAUUUAGAGGAAGGAGAAGUCGUAACG